ACAUAAGACGUAAUGUGGACGGUAAGAUAUAAAAUUUAUAGUUAAUUAUAAUAAUAUUCAUCCCAUCAAAGAAACAGUGCCACUUUGUGGGCUUUCAAGUUCAACUAGUUCUUGAGAUACUGGCGCUAAGAGAACGCAAACUCCAAAUACCUAUGAUAAUGUUUUAAGUUUACAGAAUAUAUAAAGAACAUGCAACGUCGUUGUUGGUAAUGGCUUCAGGCACACAAAUUUUCCGGUUGGUGCCAUUUAAUGGUCCUCCAUUUUACUUGGACUUUAAACCGAAGUAGAAAUAUUAGAAAAGAAAAUGCACUACAAAUAACAAUAGCUUUUGUAGUGAAAAUUAUGCCAUUGGGAUUGGGUUACGAACAGCCUUGUACGUUUAGAAAUAAAUAUAGUACAGAUAAAUUUCUGUUGCUGUAAAUAAAUACAAGAUAAAAAGAAGCAUUACAAAUGCAUUGGGAUACAUUACAAAUUGCAGCCAUUCAAAACAUCGAGGGAGACAAAAAUAACCAAAUAUUUGUUUUGACAAUGGAGUAAAAAAAGACGUCCAUCAAGUUGGCGUGAAAUUGAACCUUCUCAAUCAAUUUUCAAAAAUAUACAUUUUUUUCAUGAACA